rnacentral:lncRNA from 1 species
GCAAAUGUUUGAAGGAAUGUUUUCAAUUGUUUUUAAAACAAAGGAAUAUUUAUAUAAGGUAUAUUUUAUAUCGAAAAUUUUAAUGAUAAGAAUAAUACCAAAUAUUCACCAAUGACAAUUUGAAAAGAUGAAUCAAAAGAAGAAAGUAAUAUUUUAUUUAAAAAAUGAGUUACCAUCGCCUCCUCCUCUCUCAAUUUUCUCCGUUUGAUAUUAGUAUAAUUUUACACACGGACUAAAAUAUGACGCUUGGACCAAGUCACUGUUGCUUAUUUUAUGCGUGGACGUAAACAACUGUGCGGACAAAAAUCGUUGACGAAGUGUCCCGAAACCGUGAGGCGUGAUAGAUCGAUUAUCGAUAUUUCCUCCAUUUGAAGCUAUGAUAAAGAAUCGAUUAUUAAGGUGUUCGUUGCGGACCCCCUGUUUAUCGAUCAUUUUCAAUAGGUUUAAAUUGAAGAUCAAUCGAUACAGCACGUCACGCCGCUAAUAGCUGCGUAAAUGUUUCUUGAUAUUUUCAUUUAUUAUCUUUUCAGUGAGGUUCUCUCAGCAUAUUAUUGAUUGUUUCAUGUUAUCCUCCCCCCACGACCAGAUCCAUGAAAGUGGAAAAUCAAUGUGGUAAAUUCUAUUCUUAUCAGUCUAACUGAUUUUUGACCCAGUGAUACUACUGGAAGAUACUGCGGUGUCAUAUUUCUUGGAGCGAGCGCACAUUUUACGAGGUAUACUAAUUACUUUGAUUUUUGUCCUUUCUCUCUUUCAAUAAAGAUCCUGACGGUGACCGGGAAGGAGAUUACGAUGGUCGGGAUUGGCAAAUAUACUUGGUGACGAACAUUGUCGGUAAUAACGUGUCACGCGGCGAGAUGAUUUCUGACUACAUUCCACCAUUUGCAUCGUACUGCAAACAAUUUCAUCGAUACAUAUUCCUGGUUUAUCAGCAACCAAAUCACGGUAAAAUCAUAGAAUACUUCGAGAUUCGUUUAACUCUGAUGUAACUUAUUUAAUUUAUCCAUUUCAAUUAUCUCGUUUAUUUCCACAGUUGGAUUUGGUAUUUGACCACUCCCCCCCCCCGCAAUUUACAGUUUAAUGUUCACUUUUUAAGCUGAAAUUCUGAGAUUUUUAGAAAUCUAGUAUGUCCCAUGUUCCUAAUGUUUUGGAUGAAUAUAUAUCCCUUACAUACACUGUUCAAACUCAUAAAAAUUAGUCCCACAGAUAAUCUUUUUCACAAUAAAUGAGGAAAAAACACUACAAUUGUGGCCCAUAUUCUAUAAGGAACAUGGCGGUAGAAAAGUUUUAGGUCCACAAUAUUCUAAGGGAAAGUAGAUACUUCCCGAAGGAUAGUGUGGACACAGCACCAUUCUACCAUCCGGGUAUUAUUUACAAUACGAUACAUGUUUACGCUUUUUAACGUAUUUAAAAACCAUUCGAAUUAAAACCCUUGCAUUCGUCCUGUUUAAAGGAAAUAGGUUUUUUUGAAGCUUUUAUCACUCAUAAUUAGGUUUUUGGUGAAGGAACAGGGAUUUUGACCCAGAAUUUUUUGGAGGCUUCCAAACUUACAGUGUAGAUUCAAUUUUUUGUAUUAUUUUUUUAUUUUAUUUUUUAUUUUUGGUUUAUCAAAGUAGAAUAAA